rnacentral:rRNA from 1 species
CAUAAGUCCUACGGGAGGCAACAGUGGGGAAAUUUUCACUGUGGGGAAACCCUGACUAAUUUCCCCCACGUGGAGGAUUAGGCCUUCGGGUCGUAAACUCCUGUCGACCGGGACGAACGUAGCUGGGUCCAAUACACCCGGCUAUCGACUGUACCGUUAAAGGAAGCCACGGCUAAAUCUGUGCCAACACCCGCGUGAAUACCCUGUCCCCAUCACCCGCGGUAGUAAUCGUCUACCUGCAGGUCUGCAAUC